rnacentral:pre_miRNA from 9 species
UCUCGAAAACGUAAAAGUUAACUCAUCUUUGUGUGGAAUUGGAUCGUUUGCCUGCGUUUGCCGCUAGAGGCGCUGUUCCAACUGCACACAAAAUCGAAUUAACUUUUACGUUAUCGA